UUUCCGUAGGUGAACCUGCGGAAGGAUCAUUACCAAAACAAAGCGAACUUGGCCCCAGGGCCUUGAGAGCUUCAACCUUUUGUGAACCAAACCUUUAUUUUCGCUUCGGCAGCAAUGGCUUCCGCCGUGUCAGCCUGCUGUUAGCACCCAACCAAAACUUGCAGUAUCUUAUGUCUGAAAUCAAAUUUUUGAAUUAAAUCAAAACUUUCAACAACGGAUCUCUUGGUUCCC
rnacentral:misc_RNA from 1 species